GGUGAAGUCAGUCAAGUGACCAUUUAUUUUGGUCACUAAUCAAGUAACUUAAACUGCCACACAGCUGUGAUUCUUAAAAAGAUAUCUUACUCUGUUAUUUCUUGGAACAAGGCUGCUCUGUGGUUCUAACAAGAUCUGAUACCCAGUCAUUGAAAAUGAUUCAUCAUCACAGAUGCCUUGUAUAGUGUUGGAAGUGUCACCAGUACUGAGUAUGCAGGCAAGGUCAUUCUAAAGCAGAAAUUAAGGGGAUGAGCUGAAAUAAGCUGAACUCUGAUACCCAGAGAGAUGUCUUCAGAGUUUAAGUAGAUUCAGU
ensembl:lncRNA